ACCUGAAUGGCUCAGUCCGUUGAGUGUCUGACUUCAGCUCAGGUCAUGAUCUCGCGGUUCGUGGGUUCAAGCCCCACAUCGGGCU
rnacentral:tRNA from 1 species